rnacentral:rRNA from 1 species
GUCUACAGCCAUUCCACCCUGAACACACCUGAUCUCAUCUGAUCUCAGAAGUUAAGCAGGGUCAGGCCAUCAGGCCUGAUUAUUCCUUGGACAGGAGACA